rnacentral:rRNA from 1 species
GAUGAACGCUGGCGGCGUGCCUAAUACAUGCAAGUCGAGCGAAUGGAUUAAGAGCUUGCUCUUAUGAAGUUAGCGGCGGACGGGUGAGUAACACGUGGGUAACCUGCCCAUAAGACUGGGAUAACUCCGGGAAACCGGGGCUAAUACCGGCUAAUAUUUUGAACUGCAUGGUUCAAAAUUGAAAGGCGGCUUCGGCUGUCACUUAUGGAUGGACCCGCGUCGCAUUAGCUAGUUGGUGAGGUAACGGCUCACCAAGGCCACGAUGCGUAGCCGACCUGAGAGGGUGAUCGGCCACACUGGGACUGAGACACGGGCCAGACUCCUACGGGAGGCAGCGGUAGGGAAUCUUCCGCAAGGGACGAAAGUCUGACGGAGCAACGCCGCGUGAGUGAUGAAGGCUUUCGGGUCGUAAAACUCUGUUGUUAGGGAAGAACAAGUGCUAGUUGAAUAAGCUGGCACCUUGACGGUACCUAACCAGAAAGCCACGGCUAACUACGUGCCAGCAGCCGCAGUAA